AAAGUCGUAACAAGGUUUCCGUAGGUGAACCUGCGGAAGGAUCAUUACCGAGUUAGGGUUGCUGAAAUAUCGCGCCCGACCUCCAACCCUUUGCUUACUUGACCUUUUGUUGCUUCGGCAGGCCCGCCCUUAUGGGCCGCCGGGAGAGCCUAAAAACCUCCUGGUCAGCGCCUGCCGAUGGCCCAAACUUAAACCCUUGCUUAAACGUGUCAUCUAAGUAAUUGUUAAAACAAAUAAUUAAAAACUUUCAACAACGGAUCUCUUGGUUCUG
rnacentral:misc_RNA from 1 species